AUUGAACGCUGGCGGCAUGCCUGACACAUGCAACCCGAACGGCAGCGGGGGAGACGCUUGCUUUUCCUCCCGCCGAGUGGCGCACGGCUGAUUACUACAUCGGAACGUGACCUCUACUGGGGGAUUACUACUCGAAAGAUUAGCUAAUACCGCAUCCGACCUGAGGGUAAACUGGGGGGCCCGCAAGGCGUCAUUCGUUAGGAACGGCCUAUGUCUGAUUAGCUAGUUGGUGGGGUACAGGCCUGGCAAGGCGACGAUCAGUAGCUGGUCUGAGAGGACGAUCAGCCACACUGGGACUGAGAAGCGGCGCAGACUCCCACGGGAGGCAGCAGUGGGGAAUUUUGGACAAUGGGCGAAAGCCUGAUCCAGCAAUGCCGCGUGUGUGAAGAAGGCCUUCGGGUUGUAAAGCACUUUUGUCCGGAAAGAAGUGGCUCUGGUUAAUACCUGGGGUCGAUGACGGUACCGGAAGAAUAAGGACCGGCUAACUACGUGCCAGCCGCCGCAGUAA
rnacentral:rRNA from 1 species